GGUAACAGGAAACAGCUUGCUGUUUCGCUGACGAGUGGCGGACGGGUGAGUAAUGUCUGGGAAACUGCCUGAUGGAGGGGGAUAACUACUGGAAACGGUAGCUAAUACCGCAUAACGUCGCAAGACCAAAGAGGGGGACCUUCGGGCCUCUUGCCAUCGGAUGUGCCCAGAUGGGAUUAGCUAGUAGGUGGGGUAACGGCUCACCUAGGCGACGAUCCCCAGCUGGUCUGAGAGGAUGACCAGCCACACUGGAACUGAGACACGGUCCAGACUCCUACGGGAGGCAGCAGUGGGGAAUAUUGCACAAUGGGCGCAAGCCUGAUGCAGCCAUGCCGCGUGUAUGAAGAAGGCCUUCGGGUUGUAAAGUACUUUCAGCGGGGAGGAAGGGAGUAAAGUUAAUACCUUUGCUCAUUGACGUUACCCGCAGAAGAAGCACCGGCUAACUCCGUGCCAGCAGCCGCGGUAAUACGGAGGGUGCAAGCGUUAAUCGGAAUUACUGGGCGUAAAGCGCACGCAGGCGGUUUGUUAAGUCAGAUGUGAAAUCCCCGGGCUCAACCUGGGAACUGCAUCUGAUACUGGCAAGCCUGAGUCUCGUAGAGGGGGGUAGAAUUCCAGGUGUAGCGGUGAAAUGCGUAGAGAUCUGGAGGAAUACCGGUGGCGAAGGCGGCC
rnacentral:rRNA from 1 species